rnacentral:tRNA from 1 species
GGUGGGUUGGCUCAGUGGUUAGAGGGUAGGGCUCGUAACCGAAAGGUCGCGGGAUCGCGUCCCGCUAGAGGCUG